UACGUAGGGUGCGAGCGUUAAUCGGAAUUACUGGGCGUAAAGCGUGCGCAGGCGGUUAUAUAAGACAGGGGUGAAAUCCCCGGGCUUAACCUGGGAAUUGCCUUUGUGACUGUAUAGCUGGAGUGCGGCAGAGGGGGAUGGAAUUUCGCGUGUAGCAGUGAAAUGCGUAGAUAUGCGGAGGAACACCGAUGGCGAAGGCAAUCCCCUGGGCCUGCACUGACGCUCAUGCACGAAAGCGUGGGGAGCAAACAGG
rnacentral:rRNA from 1 species